CAUGGCACAGAGGGAAAAGGAGCAAUCCGCUUUGAGAUGGCCUCGCGUCCGAUUAGCUAGUUGGUGAGGUAACGGCCCACCAAGGCAACGAUCGGUAGCCGGACUGAGAGGUUGAACGGCCACAUUGGGACUGAGACACGGCCCAGACUCCUACGGGAGGCAGCAGUGGGGAAUAUUGCACAAUGGGGGAAACCCUGAUGCAGCGACGCCGCGUGGAGGAAGAAGGUCUUCGGAUUGUAAACUCCUGUUGUUGGGGAAGAUAAUGACGGUACCCAACAAGGAAGUGACGGCUAACUACGUGCCAGCAGCCGCGGUAAAACGUAGGUCACAAGCGUUGUCCGGAAUUACUGGGUGUAAAGGGAGCGCAGGCGGGAAGACAAGUUGGAAGUGAAAUCUAUGGGCUCAACCCAUAAACUGCUUUCAAAACUGUUUUUCUUGAGUAGUGCAGAGGUAGGCGGAAUUCCCGGUGUAGCGGUGGAAUGCGUAGAUAUCGGGAGGAACACCAGUGGCGAAGGCGGCCUACUGGGCACCAACUGACGCUGAGGCUCGAAAGUGUGGGUAGCAAACAGGAUUAGAUACCCUGGUAGUCCACACCGUAAACGAUGAAUAGUAGGUGUUGGAGGAUUGACCCCUUCAGUGCCGCAG
rnacentral:rRNA from 1 species